rnacentral:misc_RNA from 1 species
GAUGAAGAACGCAGCGAAAUGCGAUAAGUAGUGUGAAUUGCAGAAUUCAGUGAAUCAUCGAAUCUUUGAACGCACAUUGCGCCCCUUGGUAUUCCAUGGGGCAUGCCUGUUCGAGCGUCAUUUGUACCUUCAAGCUCUGCUUGGUGUUGGGUGUUUGUCUCGCCUCUGCGUGUAGACUCGCCUCAAAACAAUUGGCAGCCGGCGUAUUGAUUUCGGAGCGCAGUACAUCUCGCGCUUUGCACUCAUAGCGACGACGUCCAAAAGUACAUUUUUACACUCUUGACCUCGGAUCAGGUAGGGAUACCCGCUGAACUUAAGCAUAUCAAUAAGCGGAGG